AACUCUCCACCACCACCUUAUUACUCUCCUUCUCCAAAGGAAGACUACAAGUCUCCACCACCACCAUAUGUCUACAACUCUCCACCACCACCGUAUUACUCCCCUUCUCCUAAAGUAGACUACAAAUCUCCUCCACCACCAUACGUCUACAACUCUCCACCACCACCUUAUUACUCUCCUUCUCCAAAGGUAGAAUACAAGUCUCCACCACCACCAUAUGUCUACAACUCUCCACCACCACCUUAUUACUCUCUUUCUCCUAAAGUAGACUACAAGUCUCCACCACCACCAUACGUCUACAACUCUCCACCACCACCUUAUUACUCUCCUUCUCCAAAGGUAGACUACAAGUUUUCACCACCACCAUACGUCUACAACUCUCCAUCACCACCAUAUUACUCUCCUUCUCCUAAAGUAGACUACAAGUCUCCACCACCACCAUACGUCUACAACUCUCCACCACCACCUUAUUUCUCUCCUUCUCCAAAGGUAGACUAUAAAUCUCCUCCACCACCAUAUGUCUACAGCUCCCCACCACCUCCACCAUACUAUUCUCCUUCUCCAGAAGUCAGCUACAAGUCUCCACCACCUCCACCAUACUAUUCUCCUUCUCUAGAAGUCAGCUACAAGUCUCCACCACCACUUUUCGUCUACAACUUUCCACCACCUCCACCAUUCUAUUCUCCUUCUCCAAAAGUCAGCUACAAGUCUCCACCAGCACCUUAUGUCUCAAAGACACCCAACUAUUGAGUUUGAAUUGUUUCAUAAUCCAUAAGAAUGAUUGAAAUAAUUUGUUUUUAUGAUUCUGUCCAUUUAUUCUUGUAAUAUUGUCCCUUGAUUCUUUUGAUUUUGUUCCUUGUUCAACUAUUUGUUAAGCUUUUUAUGUAACCAAUAAAUUUUGGUUAUUUCUGACAUGCAAUUGUUUAUUUAAUAUUUGUUUGAAUUGGCUAAAAAUUUGUAAUAUGUUCGUUCUGCUAUCAGAUGAUAAUUUUUCUCUUUUA
rnacentral:lncRNA from 1 species